GUCUCAGAAGUGUUUCACACCACCUUUUCGUGGUGGAGAAGGGUAGAGGCCUACCCCUUAGACA
rnacentral:tRNA from 1 species